ACCAGUUCCGAUCAGCUUACGAUCAGCGAAGUUAAGCAACGUCGAAACUGGUCAGUACCAAGAUGGGUGACCGCUUGGGAAUACCAGGUGUUGUAAG